CUUCCGGUGGUGUCUCAGCCCAGCUCCCUUGAGGCGCAGGUUCUGGCUCUCGGUGCGGUAGCGCCAUCUGGCGCCGAGUGUUCCCCGGACUGCGGAGGGGCGCGCUUCCUCCCUUCAGAACAUUCCAGAGACACCGCGGCGGCCGGGGCUCUGUCUCCCUUUCUCUGCAUUCUGCUUGUGGAUCAGAUGUGAGCUCUCAUCUACUGCUCUGGUGUCACACCUGCCUGCCUGCCUGCCACCAUGCUGCCUGCCAUGAUGAUCAUGGACUCACCCUCUGAAACUGACUUAUUUUCAAGCAUUGUGACCCAAGUGAAGAUUAUGUCUUCUCUCAUUAGCUGCUUUGGAAACCAGUAAUGGAGGACUGACUGCUGGCUGUGCACUCCAAUGCUCCUCAUUCCGCUGUGCUAGACUCAGCUGAAAUCCUUGCCUCCCCUCAAAGAAGCCAAAUGCAUCAUGAACAGUGACAUUUCUGCUAGCCAGGAAAACAUAAAGAAAUCCCAGUGAAGCAAGAAGGUAGACAAAAUUCUUUCCAGCAUUUGAACAAAAAGGGUAAUUGUUUUUGUUGUUUUUGUUCAUCUAAGUUUUAUGGAAGUCGAUUAUCCAACUCUCUGCUGGACUUUCAAACCUCCUUUUCUCUGUCCUACAUAAUUUAAACACACUAUAAAUACCCUUAGCUACUCUGAGGGCGGGCCCAUAUUUGCAAGGCAACCACGGUUUGAGAUAUUGUUGAAUUUGAAAGGCAGCACUUCCUUGUCCGGCACAUAAACUCCAAUGAAGGUUAUGAUGAGUGUGCUGGUGGUGGCCACGUUUGACAGCCAGACAAGCAGCUCAUUUAUUCCAAAAGACUUUGAAUCCAUGCCCAGAGUCAAAUGUAGACUCUUUUUUUAAAACUCAGGAGGCUUGAAAUAAGAAAGUUAACUGACUCACAGUGCCCUUCUUGUUAGGGAGUAGGAAGGCUUCAGAAUGGAGAGAGGGCUAAAGUGUUUGAACCUGUCCGAUGGCUUCUUUAUGGGGUUCAGCCAUGGUAUUUCCUAGCUUGUCUUGUGUGAAAGUCUAUAUUGCUUGUUGAAGGUUGAAAAUAUCAUCUCUUUAUGAAAAUCCCCAAUCCUGGGAAGAAAAUAUAGAAUGAAAAAAUAAAAUGGGAUAUAGGAAGCCUGUGGAAUAGGACUUUAAAAACCCCUGUGCAUCACUGAAUCAGUAAAUGAGCUAACAAGAGAGUUUUGUGGCCACCAAGGACCCCCUCCAUGUCCCUGCUUCCCUCAAUGAUAGACAUAACCUGUAAGUUGAAGUAAAACCUGUCUUCCCAAGUCACUGUUUGGUCAUGGUGUUUAUCACAGGAACGGACAGCAAACUGUUAAAAGUGCAUGCUAUAUAUUAUAAGCCUAGUCAAAAGCUGGAGGCUGGAGAGAUCACAGACCUUAGAAGCCAUUCAUUAUUACUGUUUUGCUAAGUAGACGGUCCCAUUGCCUCCUAAACACUCAUGUUCAUAUGCAUUGAUUAGUGAUACUCUCACCCUGAAUCAGGGUGGCUUAUGGCAAAUAGGAGGUAGUUAAUGCAGAGGCUCACACCUGGUCAAAGUGUCCAGAAGUGUUACAGAAGAACAGGUCAAUAAGAACCUAAGAGCCAGAGGCUAGAGAUGCCUGCGUUUGAAAAGAUGACUUCUGGACAAGACCUGGCUGUUAUAGUCAUAAACUCGUUAUGGAAGGUGGAGGAGUGUUCCUGAGACACUACUGACAGUAAAUCCCUCCCCGAGGGGCUACCAAAAGUUAAUAGUUGCUGUGGGUAAUGCAUUGUGCUUCCGGGUGAUGUAGCCACCAAUGCAUUGCCCUUGUUCCAGUAACUAUCCUGCCAGCUAUACUUAUGUAAAUUCAAUGGCUCACACACAAAAAGAAGACUUCAAAUUGGAGGGUACUUGCUGAGGAGUUUAAGCAGGAAGAAGAAAGGGGGUGUGAGGAUAGCAGGGAGUGAAAUGAUUAAAAUUGGUUAUAUAUGUAUAUGAAUGCCAAAGAAUAAAAAGUAAUUUUUAUCCAUCACACACUCCCUGUACACUCGUUACCUGUAUCACCUGUGCUUCAUGUGCGUCAGUUACCUGCAUCACUUGCAUUACCUACGUCACAGACUGGAUAAAAGAUACAGACCCUGACCCAUAGCACUUUCUCUCCCCAUCACUUCCUCAUUUCUUCCCCUCACCCUCCCCCCACCCCCCUUUCAGAGGUGCCUCUCAUGUGAGACCUGUGCUGGCUUGGCGUGAUCUUUCCUGGAAUGCGCAGUCUCCUAUAACAGUCACAGGUAGGAGAGGGGAGGAGUUAAUGUAUUCACGGCAUUUUCCUUUCUAGCUCAGAGCAAACCCUUCUGAGUGACUUUGGACUUCAAGACGAGUUCUGAGGCAUGAGCUAGUCCCUCCUCUCCUCCUCAGGAUUAUACUUCAGUGAACCUGUUCCAAUCAAAACUAGAGUGUGACCCAUGUGACUUCAUUCAGGGUAUUCAUGAAUCUCCAAGAAUCACACCUGAUUUCGAUGAACACAAUACAGUGUAUGAAGAAGUGGCAUGUUAGAGAAACCAAACAUUUUUUGUGGAACUGAAACUGGGAAGACAAGAAGAUAUAUCUAGCUAAUCCUUACUGCUCCACCACACAAAUCUCCACAGCUUGACUCCGGGCAGAAACCCCAUUGAAACUAAAAGCAAGAGUACCACAUUGUAUAGUAUCUUGUUUAGAAAUAAAAACAGCAGAGCCAAACAGAAUUUUUAAAGAUAUUCCAGCUCUGUCUGCUAGAGAUGAUAUCAGUUUGCUGGUUGGUUAAGAACAUAUUUGCAUUUUAAUAAUGGCUCAUAGGCCUGGUGAUGAGAUGUAAUGUCGAUUACAACACAUAUCAACUGUUCAUUGCACAAUCAUUAAUGAUCGACAAAACCCUAAGCCCGAAUAAAAACAGCAUUAUUUCUGGGAAAUGUCAAGUCUGUCACUUCAAAAGGGCAAACAUGCCACCACACCAAGCUGUGAUUUUUCACCUUGUGCAAUGGAGUCGCCCUGAGAGUCUACAACAAUUCAUCUUAUUUCUGUAAGAGGUAAUAGCUAUCUUUAAAAGAUUCUGUCCUGGGGAUUGGAGAGAUGGCUCAGCAAUUGCAGAAGACCAGGGUUUGAUUCCCAGCACUACAUGGUGGCUCACAACCAUCUGUAAUUCUGAUUUUAGGAGGAUAUGGUAUCUUCUUCUGGCCUCUGUGGGCACUGAACACAUGUGGUUCAUAUAAAUACAUGCAGGAGAAGACAUGAAAGACCAUUCUCAUUCUCACUUGUAGACAGAAGAAAGCAGGACUCUAGAAAACCGACUUGUCCAAUCUUGUAAUUUUGGUAGUAAAACGUUGCUACAUCCCAAACAGCUCACUGGAACAGAAAUAGACUGUUAAUGUUUUUGUCUCCCUGUAAGAAAAGCAUUUUGUGCCAGGGUGAAGUGGUUGUGUGAAGGAGGGCCUAUUAAGUGCUUAUGAAUUAAGUAGAGGAGAAAGCAAGGAUUCUGGGAAAUUUGAUAAACUCCGUCACAUCUUGACUGUGGGCUGCUCAGCCACUGUCUUGCUAUCAGAAGAUGCCAGCAAUGGAAAAAGUCAGGAACAUUAUCUCCGGGGCAAAACCAGCUGACAUAGGGUAAUCUUUGUUGUCACCCUAAGGAUCUUUGGCUUUCUAAUAAUAGUGAGGUUCAGCAUCAUGGGCUUCCUUAUCCAGCUUUGGAAUCACUCACGAGUUCAGGGUUUUGUUGUUUGUUUUUGUUCUAACCACCUUUUGAGUAAUUGUGACUAUCCUAAAGUUCUGAUCAAAAAGGAAUAGCUCUGUGUCAUAGCCUUGCAGAAUUCAAAACAAUAAAAUAUUAUGUGCAAGAAGAGCAGUCAGUGCUCUUAAGCACCGAGCCACCUCCCAAGGCUCAGCGUCUAUUUUUUAAAGAUAAUAUUGAUUGCAUCUUCAGCUUUUGAUACAUUAAAUGGUAGUAGUAUAUAAUACAAUACACUUAGCCAACAUAAAAAGGAUAAAAUGCUUAUGAAUUAAGUUAACAAACAUGACAUAAAACUUGUCAGGUAGUUCUGGGCAUGGUGGCACAUGCUUUUAAUCCCAGUGCUUAAGGACAGAGGCAGGUGGAUCUGAGUUUGAGGCCAGAGCUGUACAUAGUGAAUUCAAGGCCAGCCAGGGAUAUGUAGAGAGAUGCUGACUGAAAAUAAAAACAAAAACAAAAAUAAAAACAACACAAGAGUAACAAAAUAUAUCAGGCGAUAGCUAUAAAUGUCACCAAAGGAAAUUAAAUAAAUAAGUCACUGGAAAGAUUCUACAUGUUCAUGGAUUGGAGGCUUACUAUGGCUAAGAUACAUUAUUCAAAUUGAUAUGCAAAUUUUUUACAAUCCCUAUCAAAAUCUGGACUGUUUAUUCUGCAGAAAUUUAGAGACACGUCUAAGAAUUCACAGAGAAAUGAAAGCGAGUCAUAGUCAAAGUAGUCUCGAGGAAGGACAACAUUAAAGCAUGUGAACUUCCCAACUUCAAAGCUUGUUACAGACCCAUCAUGAAGGGCACAAAAACCAAUGGAAUAUAAUUGACGCUCCAGAAACAAACCUACUCUGCAGACUUAUCUGUGAUCAGUUUAUUUUGAGGAAGGCUCCAAGUCCAUUUGAUAGAGAAUUACAUUUUCAAUAAAGGUAGUGGGUCAUAUGCUAAAGAAUGAAGUUAUAAAAAGAGAACAAAUACAGAAAUGUAGAAGCUAGUAUAAUAACACUCUCUAUAAGGUCAGAAGAAUAAAUCCUUGAUGGGUUACAUGGAGCAGGAUUUCUUAGAUAUGCUAUGAAAGCACAUGUCAAAAACAAAAUACAGCUACGUUGGAUUUUACUAUCUAAAAGAUUCCUGUGCUACAGACAGUAUUAUCAAAGCAGUACAAAGGACCAUGCCAGUGCUUUGAUUGGGAGGCACUGUCAAACAGAGCAGAGCACAUCAAAGGGUCCUUUGUAGUUAACAGAGUGACAAGAUAAACUGUGAUACUGGGAAAAUAUUUGCAAGUCACAUAUUUGAUAAAAGGCUAGCUUUUGAAAUAUACAGAGAUUCUUCUUCAGUAAAUAGGCAAAUAAUCUACUUUAAAAACAGGCAACAGAUUUGUAAAGCAUUUUUCUCCCUCUUUGACUAAUGGCCAGAUACUGAUGAAAAAGAUGUCCAACAGCUUUAGUCGGUAGGGAGAGACAAAUCAAAACCAUACUAACACACUACAGCCACUAGAACUGGCUUCAUCAGAGUGACUGCCAAGGGUUGAUGAGGGUCUAGAGAAAUUGGAGUCCUUAUAUAAUGCUGGUGGAAUAGUUAGGAGGGACAGCUAUGCUGAGAAAAGAUAGAAGCUCUAUUAGAAAGUUAGACAUGAGGUUAUCACAUGACUCAGCAAUUCUGUUUCUAAAUUACAUUCCAAAGGCAUGAUUUUCCAAAAACAAAUGUGAAGGCUAAUCUUGGUUGUCAACAUGACAUAUCUGGGAGGAGGAAACUUCAAACAAAUUCAAAGGAAUUGUGUCCAUCAGGUUAUCUGUGGGCACAUCUGUGGGGACCUUGUUCUUUAUUAUUAAUUGUAGAAGGGCUCAGCCCACUGUGGGUGGUACCAUCCCUAGGCAGGGUAGAACUGGAUUGUGGAUUAGUAAGCAAGAGGGAGUGAGCCAGUAAGCAGCAUCCUCUGUGGUCUCUGUUUCAAGCUCCUGACUUGAGUUCAUGCGUUGGCUUUCUUCAAUAAAGGACUGUAACCUGGAGAUGUGUGUGAGCGUGGAGGAGCCUGCAGAGAUCAGAGGAGUUGGAUCCACUGAAGAGCAAAGAUUAGCAUGGCAGAACAUGACUUCUGAUUUGCCUCUGAAGGAAGAGAGGCUUCGGCUUAAAUGGACCCAGGCUAUGUGGCAAGAUGGGAAUACUCACGACCUAGGACUACAGGUGCCUCGGCAAUACUUAGUCAAAAGAACUUCCGGCGCGAGACCUCAUCUGGGUUGGAAAACAUUUAGGUUUCAGUGUUAUGAGGGAACCACAGCUUGCCAUGCGUUCUUUCAAGCAGUAAAAGACAACUUGGGUCUGGGACUGUGGCACAGGCUUUGCUUGGCAUGAGUUCUGACAUGCAGCAUAUCCCACCCAAUCCCUGUGUUUCUGACAAUGUCACCAACACUCAUGCUGAACUUCACUGAGGCAUUCUCUACAGCUGCUUUUCUACUGACAGGACGCAGUAAACAAUCUUUUUCUCUGUUACAGCUUGUGAAGAUAGUCUGUUCCGAUCUAUCUGGAUUUUCAUCUUGGUUACAAGUGGAUGUAUUUUUAAAAUUUUAAUCUCUGGGUAUUUAUUAAACAUAUAUAUCCAAGGCACUUAUAGAAGAAUGAAAAUAUCUAACCACCAAGAGAUCAUUUGAAGAUACAUGAACAUCCACGUGCCAGGAAGUAGGGUCAGAAGAGAACAUCAGAUCCCCCAAAAGCAGAGCUAAGCAUGUUUGUGCCCAAUCAUGUGGGUGCUGGGAACAGAAUUGGUGUCCUCUGCAAGAGCAGGGUUCAAGAGUUGUGGUCGAGCUCUGCUUACCUUACAACUUCAGCUCCAGGGACAUCUCUCAAGUGCAAAGCAGGAUGCCAAGGUGGAGUUUGUCCUGUGGAUGCCAGCAGCUUCUCAGUUUGCUGAGAAAUAAAGAGUGAGGUUGAUUUCAGAAGAAAUGAUCUUCACGAUGCUAAGAACACAAGGCGGGAUUUCAAAGGAAGGAACUUAAAGGCCUCAGCUUCAUAUGACUGACCUCAGCUUCUCGUGACCUCACCUGGCUGACCUCAGCUUCUCGUGACCUCACAUGACCAACCUUGCUUCUAAGGAGUGGUGUGAGACCCGUGAAGCCCUUACCAUUCUAAGAAUCUGAUGAGUAAGAAAGGACAAACACAUGACAGGGGAGAACAGGAAAAGAAAUCUUUUCUUCAUCAAAAUGCACCUCUUGAGUCAGGAAAGACUCUUGUCAGAGUCUGGACAGUCUAAUAUCUAUGCACCUUCCAGCAGGUUCUGACUGGGAGCACACUGUAUUUGUGAAGGGAGGCUUUGACUUCAGUGAGCAGAAAGAAUACUGACCUGCAGAGGAUCUGUUCCCCCUACCCCUUACGCCCCCCACCUCUCCCCUCAGCUUUCCUCUAUCCCCCAUCCCUGACACACACAUAAGGUUCCUGGGGAAAUGUUGGGCAUUGGGCUAUGCAAAGACAGUCUGGUCUCCAGUCGAGCUGAGAUGUUGAACCCCAGGACCCAGUGGUGAUAAUUCACCUACAUGGGACAGAAGGAGUUCUCUCAUGUCUCCUGGAACUCUGGCUCCUGUCAAAGUUACCACCCCCUCAGCCCCCACAAAAGAAGCAUGGUUAGUACUCACAUAGGCAAUGUCCCAACCUUCUGACCUUUAGGCUAGACUCCUCCCCAGUUACCUAGCAACAGAAAAGAUAGCAACAUACUUUAAGAGGGGCUGUUUGGCCCCUCCUUGCUCUCUCACUCCUCUCUCUCUCCUCUCUUGCUCUCUUUGUUUUCUCCUCUCCUCUCCUCUCCUCUCCUCUCCUCUCCUCUCCUCUCCUCUCCUCUCCUCUCCUCUCCUCUCCUCCUCUCUCUAGCCUUUCUUCACUCUCUCUUUUACCUUCUCUCUUUCCCCCUGCCUUUCUAUAAUACAGCUCUAAAACCUUAGUCUCUGCUCAUCAAGGCCCGCUGCGCAGACUCUUGCCUUUGUGGGAACCUCUCUCCCUAAGCCCUCUCUCCCAUAACCCCAGGACACAAUAACCCCAGGGCACAGGGUGUUGCUUCAGGCCCCUUGGUUUCGUGGGCUGCCCCUUGUCCACCCCCACCCCAGUCGAGUUGGGUCAGUGGCUAAGAUGCCCACCUGGGGCUGAGUGGAAAGCGUCUGACAACCCUCCCACAUCUGCCUGCCCAUAGCAUAGGUAGAACUCUAGCAAGAAAUGAGCUAUCCUCCCUCCCCACUCUUUUUCCAGCCCCUUUUUAGUUCCCACAGGGAAACAUUUACUUUGGCUGGUGAAGAACCUAAAUCUGAGAUAAUGGCACGAGUGAUGGGCCUCACAGCCAAUCAACUUUGAUUUUGAGGAGUUCAGCUAUGCUCCUUACAAUAAGACCAUCUCAGCUGUCUAGUUGAUGGUUUAUAUCCAUUUUACCUUCACAUAGAAGAGCAGGGUAUAGCUUGAGGCCCGAACAUCUGCCUAUGUCUGGCAACUCUGCACAUGGCCUAGAAAAAAAAAAAAAGGCUAGAAUAUACAGAGGCCAGAGAAGACUUGGGGACGGGGACUUCAUCUAUGCAGCUAUGGGUAGACUGCCAUCCUUGGGUAAGGUGUAGCGUAUGCCUCCUUUUGUGACUGUGACCUUGGUAGGAGGAGUAGACAUUGCUGAAGUCCCAUCCCUGGGAAGAAAUGCCUUCUAUUUAUCACAGCUUCACUCCAGCCUGAACGGUUUUAUUUUAGGAGAUUUCCUUUAACCUUUCUCAUUACUGUCCUCACCUUUGCUCUUUCUCAAACUGCAUUGUCAACCUGUAUGUCUACUGCAUACAAGUGUAAAUUGAUUGGAAAUCUCCCCCUCCCAAGACCCCCACACAAUAUAUACUUGACCUAUAUAGAUGAUUCAAUAAAUAUUGGUUGAUUUAAUAAUCAUUAAAAAGCUAAUAACUGACA
rnacentral:lncRNA from 1 species